rnacentral:rRNA from 1 species
UACGUAGGUGACAAGCGUUGUCCGGAUUUACUGGGCGUAAAGAGCGCGCAGGCGGUCGAUCAAGUCGAGUGUGAAAGCCCCCGGCUCAACUGGGGAGGGUCAUUCGAUACUGAUCGACUCGAAGGCAGGAGAGGGUAGUGGAAUUCCCGGUGUAGUGGUGAAAUGCGUAGAUAUCGAGAGGAACACCUGCGGCGAAGGCGGGUAGCUGGGCCGACACUGACGCUGAGGCGCGAAAGCCAGGGGAGCGAACGGG